rnacentral:rRNA from 1 species
CGAACGGGAUCCCCGAGCWWKCKSSGAUGAGAGUGGCGCACGGGUGAGUAACGCGUAUGCAACCURCCUUUAACWGAGGGAUAGCCCAUAGAAAUGUGGAUUAAUAYCUCAUAGUUCUUUWGAUCCGCAUGGAUUKGAAGAUAAAGCUCCGGCGGUUAAAGAUGGGCAUGCGUGACAUUAGCURGUUGGUAAGGUAACGGCUUACCAAGGCUACGAUGUCUAGGGGUUCUGAGAGGAUGAUCCCCCACACUGGUACUGAGACACGGACCAGACUCCUACGGGAGGCAGCAGUGAGGAAUAUUGGUCAAUGGGCGCAAGCCUGAACCAGCCAUCCCGCGUGCAGGAUGACGGCCCUAUGGGUUGUAAACUGCUUUUAUACACCAAGAAAAACACMUACGUGUWGGUGCCYGACGGUAGUGUAUGAAUAAGCAUCGGCUAACUCCGUGCCAGCAGCCGCGGUAAUACGGAGGAUGCAAGCGUUAUCCGGAUUCAUUGGGUUUAAAGGGUGCGUAGGCGGYYUUUUAAGUCAGUGGUGAAAUCUUGCCGCUUAACGGUAAAAUUGCCAUUGAUACUGAAARRCUUGAGUACRGUUGAGGUAAGCGGAAUGUGUAGUGUAGCGGUGAAAUGCUUAGAUAUUACACAGAACACCAAUUGCGAAGGCAGCUUACUAAACUGKYACUGACGCUGAUGCACGAAAGCGUGGGGAGCGAACAGGAUUAGAUACCCUGGUAGUCCACGCCGUAAAC